rnacentral:lncRNA from 1 species
CUCUGUCUUUCUGGCUCAUCAAGUACUAGCGGACUCUCUCUGUGUACCGUAUCAGUGCCUGAACUGUAGUGCAUCUGGAAACUGCCAGCUGUGCUCCAACACCUCAGUAGCCAACAGUACCAGCUGCAUUGGUCAGUAGCAAAAUCUUUUUUUCCCAACAGAAAAAGAGCAAAUGAUUGAUGAUAUUUGACAGAUGACUGAUCAUUCUUUCUUCCUCCAUAGAUGCUCCCAAAAUCUGCAUCAUAGAUGCCGCUGUAAAGCUGAUUGCUGAUUCUUUCCAGGUUGAAGAACGAUCUGCACUGACUGUGGACUGUAAUCAUAGCCUGCCUCAAAACAUGAACACAAGUUUCAUGUGGCUAAUAAAUAACAAUGAGAUGAUGGGUGAAAUCAACAGUAGCCUGGUUGUGAAGAUCAAUGAGACAAUAAAACUGGCCUGCACGGUGUUCAGUCCAUGUGGAAAAUUCAGCUCUAACUCUCAAGAAAUAACUAUCAAAGAUGGAAGUGGGCUCAUUAUCCUGAUCUGUGGAGUAGGAGCUGUGGUGGUUAUUGUCAUUCUGGGUGUUGUCAUGAAAAUUAUAAUAAAAAGAAAUGAAGUCCAAAACGAGGCAAGGAAGCGUCAGAGACAAGCACGCAUGCAGAACAUCAGCAGCACCACCGAGGUCACAGGAUACUGGUGAAGAGAGAAAGAAAUGUAUUGUUCUAUACAGCGAAUGUUGAGAAGACAUUAGCCAAAAUUGAGUAAUAAGAAAUUGUAAAAUUGACCCUGCUAUUUGCUUGGCUGAGAGGCGUUUUAUGAGUGACAUUAUCAGCCGAUAAUGCACUGUAACCGAAGCUCUCCAUGUAUUACUCCACCACAUACAGAUAACCUAGCAACAAUGCAGCGCUUACAAACCAAGUGCAAUAUCAUUUGAUGUCACCAUUGGGAGAUGCUAGAUCCCAUAGGCACAAUGAAUAAGCGUCAUAUCUCUAAUAAGCAGCGCAGGAAAAGAUGCUGUCCC